UACGUAGGGUGCAAGCGUUGUCCGGAAUUAUUGGGCGUAAAGAGCUCGUAGGCGGUCUGUCGCGUCGGCUGUGAAAACUCGGGGCUCAACCCCGAGCCUGCAGUCGAUACGGGCAGACUAGAGUGCUGUAGGGGAGACUGGAAUUCCUGGUGUAGCGGUGAAAUGCGCAGAUAUCAGGAGGAACACCGGUGGCGAAGGCGGUUCUCUGGGCAUGUCCUGACGCUGAGGAGCGAAAGCAUGGGGAGCGAACAGG
rnacentral:rRNA from 1 species